rnacentral:lncRNA from 1 species
UCUACCACACGGAUAAAGAUCCGAAGUAAUAACAGCUAAAGAAAUAAGAAACCCAGAGAUCUCUCGAGCUUGCACCAUCAAAGAAAGCAAGUCAAUACAGGUAAUCGGAAUAAAUCUCCAAAUGGUAUCCCACAAAUAAAGUGGAAUGCCAAGAAAGCUAUCCUUUCAGGAGUCAUGUGAGCCCUCACAAAAAACUCAGCAAACAGGUUAGAGUGACAAGAUGGGGUGCAAUCAAGAGUUUCCCCAAAUCAAAAUGUAACCAUAUGACUC